rnacentral:tRNA from 1 species
GGGGGUGUAGCUCAUAUGGUAGAGCGCUCGCUUCGCAUGCGAGAGGUACGGGGUUUAAUUCCAUGCACCUCCA